UCGAUCCACCCCCACCGAUUUUCCUCCUUCUCUUUUUCAUGUGGUUUAUUUUCAUCCGUCACGGUUUUAUUUUCCCUGAACCAAAAAGGCGAUAGCUUAGGAGUCAGGAGCCCAGCCCGCACACCCCUCUCUCUCCCCUCAGCAACGGAGGCACGCAACACGGACGCACUGCACCGUUCCCAAGAUGCACUAGGGCCAGCCCGCCACUGAUGGCGAUGGCUAUCAAAUGGCAACUACGGCGACGUUGACGCGCUUUAUCCCCCACCGCUGCCGCCUCCUGAGCGGCCGAGAUCCCGAGCGUGGUGAGCUCCCUUCCCUUCCCCACUUCCUCGCUACCAUGCCCAUCCCUACCCCCGUUCUAUUCCCAAGGCAACGGCCCCACGGUCCCUCUAACCUAGGAUUGUCGACCUGAUCUGUCGGCGUGCACAUGAUGAUGGUGGUGCCGAUCUCAAUCUCCCUGAUUUGGUUUGACUGAGAAUCAUCGAUGUGUGGGCGACAAGCAGAUUUCCUUGGAUGUCUCCAUGCCACGCUACCGUGCUCGAUUUCAUUCAGAGGCUUCAGGAAAUAUUUGUGGUCAAGCAAGCGGGAUGCUCUUCCUCCAUGCAUGCACAUGUUCUGCAUUAUGGGUUCUUUGGUCUCCUGCUAAGUACAUUUGGUGCUCUUUGACGCUCAUGUGUUCCUUUGGCUAGCUUUCAGAUGAAGACUGAAUGCACGUGCAAGUACGAUCAGGAAGCAAUCGAGGAAUAUAUGAGACUAUUUCCGCAAUUGUUGUCCCUAGCUCCCUAACUCCGUUGAGUCGAUAACCAUAUUAUCCUGUGAUAUGGGUUAAGGAAGACAAGGUAGUGCACUUCCAGAUGUUUGUCCUCCUCUCCAAGACGAUGUCAGUUUGGUUAUGCAUGCGGAAUGUUUUCUUGAUGUCAUGCAUAUUACAAAGGCUUCUAUGGAUCUUGAAGCUUUUGCUUGUAUCAUCUAUUAGAUAUUUUUUCUGAACUCUCUAUGUUAUCCCUCUUUGCACUGACCUAUAAUUUUUGUUUGAGCAGGGAUAGUGCAGCGAACACGAGCAAAUAAAUUGGUAGAAGGUGCAGACGACUAUCUGAACCAAGGCUUGUGUAAUAUGUAAAGUGAGUGGCAGAUGCAGUAUCUAGCUCUUUGAUAAGUAUUGGGAUGUAGGUAGGACACAUCUAAUCUGAAUUGAAAUAUGGAUGGCGUGAAUAGUCUGUAUGUUCGAUUUUCGAUUGAAUGUUGAAUUAUUAUCAACUAGAUCUACCUCCACCGACAUUACUAGCUCCUCCUUGAAUACCAACUAUCGGAAAGAGAGCAAUGGUACUGUGAUUGUACUGUUUUAUGCCAGGUGUUAAAGAAUACUAUUUGCAAUCAGUUAGCAACGAACUGACGGUGCAUUAUAUUGUAUAGAAGGUUCUUUUGAUCCUGAAAAGCCAAUUGUGCAUUUA